rnacentral:rRNA from 1 species
UUACUUUCAACACGGUCUCUUGGCUCUCGCUCGUGACGAACGCCGCGAAAUGCGAUAAGUAAUGUGAAUUGCAGAAUUCAGUGAAUCAUCGAAUCUUUGAACGCACCUUGCGCUCCUUGGUAUUCCGAGGAGCAUGCCUGUUUGAGUGUCAUGA